rnacentral:rRNA from 1 species
AGCUCCAAGAAUACGCGGAGGAGGUGGCCUGGGUCGGUGUCGGCGCCGUCCGGCGCGGGCCACAGGCCCGCUUCCAAGUGCGUCUGCGCGCCUGCCACCCACGCCGGGUCCUUCAAGUGCCGCUUCCACCGCACCAACUCCCAGGGCCACGGCCACGGCCAGGGCCAGGGAAGCCGCAAUUCUUCGCCCCCUUCACCGGCCGUGGCCAACGCGGUGCCGCGGCACCCGGCCUCGCCGUCCUCGUUCUCCGGCACCGUCGCGACCCAGUGA